rnacentral:snRNA from 1 species
GGAUGUGAGGGCGAUCUGGCUGUGACAUCUGUCACUCCAUUGAUCGCCAGGGUUGAUUCGGCUGAUCUGGCUGGCUAGGCGGGUGUCCCCUUCCUCCCUCACUGCUCCAUGUGCGUCCCUCCCGAAGCUGCGCACUCAGUUGAAGAGGACGACCAUCCCCGAGAGUGGAGGACCAUUCUUCGGUCAAGGGUAUACAAGUAGCUGCGCUCCCCUGCUAGAACCUCCAAACAAGCUCUCACGAAUAAUAUUGACUUCUCAUUCAAAGCAUUGAAACCAGAAAACAAUAAUGGAAGAAUGUCACUGAAGUGCUG